rnacentral:rRNA from 1 species
GCUUAUGGCCAUACCACCCUGAGAACGCCCGAUCUCGUCUGAUCUCGGAAGCUAUGCAGGGUCGGGCCUGGUUAGUGCUUGGAUGGGAGACCGCCUGGGAAUACCAGAUGCUGUAAGCU